rnacentral:rRNA from 1 species
ACGGGUGAGUAACGCGUGGGAACGUGCCCUCCGGUUCGGAAUAACUCAGGGAAACUUGAGCUAAUACCGGAUACGCCCUUUUGGGGAAAGGUUUACUGCCGAAGGAUCGGCCCGCGUCUGAUUAGCUAGUUGGUGAGGUUAUGGCUCACCAAGGCGACGAUCAGUAGCUGGUCUGAGAGGAUGAUCAGCCACACUGGGACUGAGACACGGCCCAGACUCCUACGGGAGGCAGCAGUGGGGAAUAUUGGACAAUGGGGGCAACCCUGAUCCAGCCAUGCCGCGUGAGUGAUGACGGCCUUAGGGUUGUAAAGCUCUUUUCUCCGGGACGAUAAUGACGGUACCGGAGGAAUAAGCCCCGGCUAACUUCGUGCCAGCAGCCGCGGUAAUACGAAGGGGGCUAGCGUUGCUCGGAAUCACUGGGCGUAAAGGGCGCGUAGGCGGCUGAUUUAGUCGAGGGUGAAAGCCCGUGGCUCAACCACGGAAUGGCCUUCGAUACUGAUUGGCUUGAGACCGGAAGAGGACAGCGGAACUGCGAGUGUAGAGGUGAAAUUCGUAGA